AGCUCCAAUAGCGUAUGUUAAUGUUGUUGCGGUUAAAAAGCUCGUAGUUGGAUUUGUGGGAUGGCCGUCCGGCGGGGGGCCUUUCAUGGUCCCGUUUGUCCUGGUUUUCGGCCUUCCCUUUCUCGGGUCUAGCGUAUUGGCUGGCAUUAGGUUGUCGGCCGCUUCGCGCCCGUCGUUUACUGUGAAAAAAUUAGAGUGUUCAAAGCAGGCUUAGGCCGUUGGAUACAUUAGCAUGGAAUAAUGAGAUAGGGCCACCGCGGUCUAUUUUGUUGGUUUGCACGUUGUGGUAAUGAUUAACAGGAACGGUUGGGGGUAUUCGUAUUCAAUUGUCAGAGGUGAAAUUCUUGGAUUUGUGGAAGACGAACUACUGCGAAAGCAUUUACCAAGGAUGUUUUCAUUA
rnacentral:rRNA from 1 species